rnacentral:tRNA from 1 species
GGCGGGGUAGCUCAGUCUGGCUAGAGUGCUACAAAGCAUUUGACGUAGAAGUCGCGAGUUCAAAUCUCGCUCCCGCCA